UAUACGUCCAUACCUGUGGACGAUCCGUACACUUCGAGAUAUUAUUUUUAAAGCUUCAUUUCACCAACUUAUAUUGUGGUGAAAAAACUGUGCUUACGAGAGAAUAUGGCGCAAUGAUUGUACUUUAUAGUGAUCACUUCAAAUUUAGGUUAAUUCACUAAAAAAAAAUUUUUAUGAAUAAAAAAAAAAAAACUACGGUUCGUCCAGAACCUACCUUACUAAAAUAAACAAUUCCAUCUUAUAGAGAAAAGCCUCCUGAACUCGAUGGUGUAUACAGAUUUUUCAUAAAACGCCAAAUAAGUGAAGCACGGAACUAUUUAUAAAAACAUUUCACCUCAUCCCUCGUUUGCGCCGACGGGAGUGGGUGCAAGGCUAUACUGCUGGUCUGCGGGCCUCGUUGCCAUGACAACCCUCGCCUCGCCUCGCUUUUCGUUUUCUGUGUGGCCGCGGCCUAAUUAACCAGCAUCCUCACUUUUUCAUUCCACACUGUCCAACUUUCUGAUGCAAAUUAACCAGCAUCCUCACUCUUUCAUCCCUGUGCUGUCCAACUUUCUGAGGCAAGAGUUAAUCAGCAUUCUCACUCAUUCACUCCACACUGUCCAACUUUCUGAUGCAACAGUUAACCAGCAUCCUUAUUCUCUCAUUCCUGUGUUGUCAAACUUUAUAAUUCAAGAGCAAACCAGCAUCCUCACUCCUACAUCCCUGUGCUGUCCUAAUGGAAGAGUUUACUAGCAUCCUUACUCUUUCAUCUCUCUGCUGUCCAACUUUCUAAUGUAAGAGCUAACCAACAUCCUCACUCCUUCAUCCUCAUGCUGUCUUUCUGAUGCAACAGUUAACCAGCAUCCUCACUCUCAUCCCUGUGUUGUCCAACCUUAAGCUGUCCAACUUUUUGAUGCAAGAGUUAACCAGCAUCCUCACUUUUUCACCAGUCCCAUAUCUCAGACAGCCCCUCACUGUCCCAUAUCUUACCUAGCCCCUUACAGUCCCUACUACCUUAUUACAUUACUUUCCCAUACCUAUAGUACAACCCACUCACGUACAGUCCCUAACCUUAAGCAGCCCUACAAUCCAACCCAUAUCAUAACCACUCCUACAUAAUUCCUUUCCUUAGCUGUUCCCACACACAGCCCCACUCCUCAACCAUCCAUGCACACAGCCCCAUAUCUUAACCAUCCUCUUACAGCCCCAUACCUCAGACAGCCCCUCAUAGCCCCAUACCAAUAACUAGCCCAACUUUUCAUCGCAUACCUUCAUUAAUCCCUUUCCUUAACCAGUUCUACACACUCCCAUACCCAUACCCCACACAGUCCCCCAUACCUCAAGCAGCCCCUACACAGCCCCAUCACCAGGGUAGAGGAGGAGAACGGGUGUGUAUGUCACUUUAUUUGUACUGUGGACAAUGUUUGCCUUCACACACCACCUCCCUGGGUCCACACGGCUACGUGGGCCACAGCGUUAGUGUUCCCUCGGUGCCGGCUGGACCCUCACAGUGCUAGUAUUAUAAAAGGUAUAAAAAACGCUACUUAGCCACAUCCAUGUAAGGUAUACAGGGAACUAUCAAAAAGAAGGGUAAACUCAUGCACUCCGUUUCGUUACUGACUGCCAUGGAAUCUUGCUAGGCAUUCGUGCUUUUGUAGAGAUGAAAAACAAGAUGCAGAGCUCUGGAAUAGGAGAGAGUGGCCACCUUCAUCUCAGCCACCAUGGCGUUUUGAAAAAAGAGUCUUGGGGAGCUCAAAUUGAUGCUGAUACAAUGUAGGAAACAGAUCAAGGGCAAUAAAAAACAAAAAACAAAGAGGCUGGCUAAUCUCUGCUUGCAAAAACAUACAGCAGUGGCCAGAAGGGAGGUCAAUUUGAGAUGUAGUGUUUUUGUGCUUGAGGUAUGGUCAGAAUCAUGAAGAAGUACCCAGAGCAUAAAAAACACUAUUGUAUCAGCAUCAAUAUGAGUUUCGUGUGGCUCUUUAGGUAACAGAAUGGCGCCCAUGAUGAAGAUUGCCACACUCUCCUAUUCUAUGGCUCUGACGAGACUGCCACGGAGACCAGUGAAAAUGUAUCACAAAAACACACACACACACACACACACACACACACACACACACACACAUGUACACUAAGAUGAGGCUUCAAGCUGGACAAGACAAUAGGCAAAGCAGCUUAGCAAGGUUCACUUAGUACAGAGGACUUGACAUUGGCCGAAGGUACCCAGACUCCAAUCGCACGCAUAAAUAUAAUAAUAACAAUAAUAAUAAUAGUAGAGGACACCAAACUAGAGUAGGUUCAGUGACUUGUUCAAACCUUUCCAAUACACACUCAAGUCAGGCAAAAAGAAAGUAAAGUAGACCUAUUUAUUGCAAGACAGAUACUAAAGAGAUUCAAGUUAAGUGGAGGUGUUAUUUCAGUGGGAUUUAGCGAUUUGGGAUUAGUGGGACUUCAAGAAUGUGAGAAGAUGGAUUAUAAAUGAAGACAAAGAAGUUAUGGAAGAGGGGGCAGGGCUUCAGGAGGGCAGAGGUUAGUUUAGCAUACAAAGACUUUUAUAACUGGUCACCUUUCCCUGACAUGAGAACAAAUCAGUGGAGUGUAUGCAAGUCACUCAGGACUCAGAAUGUUGCAUUUGUUGUGACUUUCAAUGAUUUCAGGUGUUGGGUUUCUUAUAACUGUCUGCCUCUGAGGACUCAUAAAGUUGGGUUUGUCAUAUCUUUCUACUUUUAAUGCCUCAAAGAACCCAAGAAUUUCAACCUCCUUUCAUCUGACCAAUCACCUCCUUUAGCUAUGGAAGAGGGGGUUAGCCUUCAAGAGGGCAAGGGUCAGUUUAGCGUAUAGAAACAUUUUCCCUGACAUGAGUACUAAUUGGUAAGGUGUAAAUAAAUCGCCAAACAUACUCUAAGGUGCCAUGAGACAGAGCAGUGGCAGCAGCCUUCCCUUGCUGCCACUUUGUCCCCCUCAACUCCCUCUAGGCUAGACAACAACACCAACGAUACAAGAGACUGUGUGGGUGGCAGAAGACUAACGCCAGGAUCUUUUAAACGUCGUAAUAGCGUCUCCUAACAGGUACAUGGCUGGCCUGGCUUUUUUGUUCCAUUUUCGCGACGAAGUUAGUAAGAAAUGUUGGGUUUUCACUGUUGUCAACGUAUUACAAACUCAGACGUAAAAAUUUAUAUAAGAAAUCAGCAAAACCAACUAACUAUGCCUUGAAAAACGGGUAAAAAAUACAAACCAGCCACGUUAGUGUUCAUGAAGACUAAUUCGACGUUUGGAAAAAUCAGGCAAAAGGUCCAUAUUCUCUAGCAUUUCAGGGCUCACACAUCUAUUUCAUAAAGCCUUCAUAGAGGUUGUGUUAGUAUGUCCAUGGGUAGUUUUAUGCCUAGUGAUAGUUUGACAAGGCUUGGGUAGAGGUUGUGUUAGUAUGCCCAUGGGUAGUUUUAUGAGCCUAGUGGUAGUUUGACAAGGCUUUGGUAGAGGUUGUUGUGUUAUUAUGUCCAUGAGUAGUUUUAUGAGUCUAGUGAUAGUUUGACAAGGCUUUGGUAGAGGUUGUUGUGUUAAUAUGUCCAUGGGUAGUUUUAUGAGCCUAGUGAUAGUGUGACAGGGCUUUGGUAGAGGCUGUGUUAGUAUAUCCAUGGGUAGUGUUAUGAUAGAUAUAUUGGUAGAGGUUGUGUUAGUAUUGCCAUGGGUGGUUUUAUAAGCCUAGUGGUAAUUUGGCAAGGCUUUGGUAGAGGCUGUGUUAGUAUAUCCAUGGGUAGUGUUAUGAUAGAUAGAUUGGUAGAGGUUGUGUUAGUAUUGCCUUGGGUAGUUUUAUGAGCCUAGUGAUAAUUUGACAAGGCCUCUGCACCAUGAACAUGAAGAAACACUCAUGAGAACCUGACUAACCUCCUUUGUGGUCCUUGAAAAUAGAUGCUGUGAGAGCCAAAGGCAUCUGAGAAUAUGGGCGUGAGUCGUAGGGGAAAAACCAAGGCCAGAUGGAAGCCUUGUGUGUGUGUGUGUGUGUGUGUGUGUGUGUGUGUGUGUGUGUGUGUGUGUGUGUGUGUGUGUGUGUGUG